rnacentral:rRNA from 1 species
AUUGAACGCUGGCGGCAGGCCUAACACAUGCAAGUCGAGCGGAUGAAGGGAGCUUGCUCCUGGAUUCAGCGGCGGACGGGUGAGUAAUGCCUAGGAAUCUGCCUGGUAGUGGGGGAUAACGUCCGGAAACGGGCGCUAAUACCGCAUACGUCCUGAGGGAGAAAGUGGGGGAUCUUCGGACCUCACGCUAUCAGAUGAGCCUAGGUCGGAUUAGCUAGUUGGUGGGGUAAAGGCCUACCAAGGCGACGAUCCGUAACUGGUCUGAGAGGAUGAUCAGUCACACUGGAACUGAGACACGGUCCAGACUCCUACGGGAGGCAGCAGUGGGGAAUAUUGGGCAAUGGACGAAAGCCUGAUCCAGCCAUGCCGCGUGUGUGAAGAAGGUCUUCGGAUUGUAAAGCACUUUAAGUUGGGAGGAAGGGCAGUAAGUUAAUACCUUGCUGUUUUGACGUUACCAACAGAAUAAGCACCGGCUAACUUCGUG